UUGUAUGAACGCACGCAGCAUAUAGCAAAUGAAACCACCUACAUAAAAUGUAGUGAAACACUUGUACUGCAAAACGCAUAACUAGUGUAGGGUUGCUCUUAUUCGCCUUUUUCCAGGCUUUAUUAGUCACUAUUUCUGUGUUGUAAAGGUAGGAAUCGAUUUCCGUUAUCUUUUUCUCUCACGUACUGAUGAACUUUAAACAAGUGGAGGCAAUAAGAAAAUCUGCGUGAAUCUGCAUCUCAAAUUUUUUGCACAUAACGGUGUGUAGCACAGUAGGUACACGUAUCUGUUUAAUGAUGAGCGAAGCAGUCCCAUAACGUGAUUUAGAAACACAAAUUUAACUCGGUCGACCAUUUUGACCUGUUUCGACGAAAGGUGUUCCUACGCUACCUGGAAUCAGUAAUAAGCUACGACACUAUCUUAAUAUCGAACAAGGCCAGCGUCAUUUAUAAAAUAAGUAUGGAGCAAGUGUAGCGGUAAAUUCGAUUGACUUUAAAGUUUCAAAGGUUGAUCAGCACAACUCGUUAUGCUGGCCAAAGUAAUGCAUGAAAUCAAAUUCAUUAUUUUUAAAUUCCAUCGUUUCCCGGUUCUGCUUGCGGUGUACGCAAUUCAUUUUUGGUCGAAAAAACCAGAGAUCUCUAAUUCUAGUCCAACUAAUGAAUACACGUACGUUGAAUCUAUAAGAAAUAAAAAACGUUUUCAACUCACUUAUUUGUGAUAACCGAGCGCUGAAAAUGCUUUUAUCAAUGCCCAUAACUGCGAAAAAACUUACAAAGUAAUUUAUUUAGUAUUUAACUUGACAUAAACUGUUGAGAGUUUUAACAGCACUUUUUUUUGGUUUUGAAAAAAAUUAACUGGUAAAAUAUAAUUCAUAGCCAGCCUGGAAGUUCCAUGGAACCAACUAUUCGCGCCACAGCAGACGACAUGCCAUUGGGUCUAGCAAAUAAACCUAGCCAUUGUCUGUUUUCUCUAUUAAUGUCUCAAGACUGGACACAUGCGGUAUUUGGCGGUGUUAUGGAGUUAUGGUUUUUCUUGGUAGAAAAUCCAGCAGAACUUACAAGACUGUUCGAAAAUAAGAACUUGUCGUGCAGAACAAUCUAAACAAACGGCGUACACACGGAGACUAACAUUCACCGCACUUAAGAGAAAAAACAAAAUAAUGAAGUUAAUUUUAAAUGAGUCCUUUUUUAGCUACUUUUACAAGAAUGACAAGUGUUCGCCCAGCGUUAUACCACGUGUGUCUAAUGGAAUGUCUCCAAGCCCAUGCUAUAACAAUGACCAUUUCUGUAUCCCGUUCUACAUAUUGGAAGUUGUGUACUAGUUUGCGAUAGUCGUUCUAAAAGGUACUCAGUUUCUCUUUCCCACUGGUUUCGUGAAUGUGCGAGGGCGUAGAACGAGUCGUGUUGCUUUGUUCUGCCGUAGUUGUGAAUUUACAACUGGGGUUUCACCUUGCAGUUAAAUUAAACCGAGUCAACAUCUACCCACGCUUGAGAUCGAAAACAAUUGUCGUGAUGUUACUGGUACGUUCACGACAGUUCGUUAUAUCUAUGGUGCUUCUGACAGGCUACGGAAUGUUCCUGUACAGUCAGUGGCCACUAGUAGCUGAAGCCGGAGUGACAGGCAAGCUUGAAGCAACACUCCACGGCUUAUUUUUUGGAUCUGGUGUCAUACUGGCGCUGUUACAUAUCUGACAUUUGUGCGGCAUACCUCUAGUAUUCGCCUGCCAUCAUCACUAUGAGUCCUGAUAUCAUCGUGCGCCGAUUGCAUACUGUAAAGAGGGCGUUAUUUUUGAACUACCCCAAUUAAAAACGGUAAAAUGACGUCGCUCAAGCAAAAAAUUACAAGUUUACAACGCCGUAAUGCCGGGAAUUCCCUGUACAUGGCGCAUGAAAGUAGUAAGAGCUAAAGAAGACCGAGGAGACAAGUUAAAGGAAGAUAAUUCGAGUCAGUUUCGCAUUUUUGGCAACCUCAUUUUCACCGUCUACGUAUGGCGUGAUACAGAGUGACUGCCACCCAUUAUAUGAAGCAUCGUAGUGAGACAAAGAACGCAUCUCAACUUAAAAACUUUCCGACUACUCUAGCUGGCUACUA